rnacentral:rRNA from 1 species
AUUGAACGCUGGCGGCAUGCCUUACACAUGCAAGUCGAACGGUAACAGGUCUUCGGAUGCUGACGAGUGGCGAACGGGUGAGUAAUACAUCGGAACGUGCCCGAGAGUGGGGGAUAACGAGGCGAAAGCUUUGCUAAUACCGCAUGCGAUCUCAGGAUGAAAGCAGGGGACCGCAAGGCCUUGCGCUCACGGAGCGGCCGAUGGCAGAUUAGGUAGUUGGUGGGAUAAAAGCUUACCAAGCCGACGAUCUGUAGCUGGUCUGAGAGGACGACCAGCCACACUGGGACUGAGACACGGCCCAGACUCCUACGGGAGGCAGCAGUGGGGAAUUUUGGACAAUGGGCGCAAGCCUGAUCCAGCAAUGCCGCGUGCAGGAAGAAGGCCUUCGGGUUGUAAACUGCUUUUGUACGGAGCGAAAAGGCUCUCUCUAAUACAGGGGGCUCAUGACGGUACCGUAAGAAUAAGCACCGGCUAACUACGUGCCAGCCGCCGCAGUAAAAC